CCUACGGGAGGCAGCAGUGAGGAAUAUUGGUCAAUGGGCGUAAGCCUGAACCAGCCAAGUCGCGUGAGGGAUGAAGGUUCUAUGGAUCGUAAUCCUCUUUUAUAAGGGAAUAAAGUGUGGGACGUGUCCUGUUUUGUAUGUACCUUAUGAAUAAGGAUCGGCUAACUCCGUGCCAGCAGCCGCGGUAAUACGGAGGAUCCGCGCGUUAUCCGGAUUUAUUGGGUUUAAAGGGUGCGUAGGCGGCCUUUUAAGUCAGCGGUGAAAGUCUGUGGCUCAACCCUAGAAUUGCCGUUGAAACUGGGAGGCUUGAGUAUGAUUGAGGCAGGCGGAAUGCGUGGUGUAGCGGUGAAAUGCUUAGAUAUCACGCAGAACCCCGAUUGCGAAGGCAGCCUGCCAAGCCAUGACUGACGCUGAUGCACGAAAGCGUGGGGAUCAAACAGGAUUAGAUACCCGGGUAGUC
rnacentral:rRNA from 1 species